GUCGAGCGGUAGAGAGAAGCUUGCUUCUCUUGAGAGCGGCGGACGGGUGAGUAAUGCCUAGGAAUCUGCCUGGUAGUGGGGGAUAACGUUCGGAAACGGACGCUAAUACCGCAUACGUCCUACGGGAGAAAGCAGGGGACCUUCGGGCCUUGCGCUAUCAGAUGAGCCUAGGUCGGAUUAGCUAGUUGGUGGGGUAAUGGCUCACCAAGGCGACGAUCCGUAACUGGUCUGAGAGGAUGAUCAGUCACACUGGAACUGAGACACCGUCCAGACUCCUACGGGAGGCAGCAAUGGGGAAUAUUGGACAAUGGGCGAAAGCCUGAUCCAGCCAUGCCGCGUGUGUGAAGAAGGUCUUCGGAUUGUAAAGCACUUUUAGUUGGGACGCCGGGCAGUUGCCUAAUACGUAACUGUUUUGAAAAAAACCCACUUAUUAAGCACCGGCUGGGUGUGACACAGCAGCCGCGGUAAUACAGAGGGUGCAAGCGUUAAUCGGAAUUACUGGGCGUAAAGCGCGCGUAGGUGGUUUGUUAAGUUGGAUGUGAAAUCCCCGGGCUCAACCUGGGAACUGCAUUCAAAACUGACUGACUAGAGUAUGGUAGAGGGUGGUGGAAUUUCCUGUGUAGCGGUGAAAUGCGU
rnacentral:rRNA from 1 species